rnacentral:rRNA from 1 species
AUGAAAAUAAUUGGUUGGAACUGCCGGGGACUCGGGAAUGGCCCGGCGGUUCGCAGCCUCCUCGACUUGGGGAGGAUGGAGGAGCCCGAUAUUUUGUUUCUGGCAGAGACAAAAUUGACCGUUAAUGAGCUAGAGAGAUUCAGGUGGAUGCUAGGGCUUGUUCAUAUGACGGCCUGGAACCCAGAGGGGAGGAGUAGAGGGGUGGCUUUAUUCUGGAGGAGGGGGAUUGAUGUGCAGAUGCGCUCGUACGGGAGAAGACACAUAGAUGUGAACAUAAAGGAGGAGGAUGGAAGUGAGUGGAGGUUGUCGGGUGUGUAUGGAGAGUCAGUAACUGAUAGAAAGAAAGAUACUUGGCGAACUUUAAAAAAUUUGGGGUAG